CCUAGUUUCAAUGACAGACAAGGGCUGUCACAUGGUGGCUUCUUAGACACUGAGUCAGAGAAUAUGUAUGCUGUGCUCAAGGGAGAGGUCCCAAGAUGCCUGGGUCAUGUCUCCCUCUUCCGCCUCCGCCCUGCUGUCUGUCCAUAGGCUGAGCCUUGUCAAUCCUGUGGCAGCCCAUGGAAUGGCUCUCCCCUUGUGUACACACAUACACACACAUUCACACACACACAUUCACACACACACAUUCACACACACACACACAUUCUCACACACACAUAUUCACACACAUUCACACAUACACAUUCACAUACACAUUCACAUUCACACAUACACAUUCACACACACACAUUCACACACACAUUCUCACACACACAUUCACACACACACAUUCACACACACACACACAUACACACACACACCCUUUCUCCACCUUGGUGGAAGCAGGAUCAAGAGAAGGGAGUACAGGUGGGAAGAAGAAAGAAAAGCCGAAGAAAAACAAGGCUUUUCCAGAACUCUUUUGGGGAGCAGAAGAGAAGCCUGGGCUGGAGAGAGGUCAAAGAUCUGGCAGUCCCACCUCAUCCCACCCAACCCCAGCC
rnacentral:lncRNA from 1 species